rnacentral:piRNA from 1 species
CAAACAACUUUUAGAAACAAAGACACGAUUGC